CCCUUGGGGAACCCGGAACCGCAAGCCCCGCCCCGGCAGCUCGAGGCGCGGCGGAAGCCUACAGCUCCCGGCGGGCUCUGCGGCGCGCGGCCCCAGCCGGGCCCGUUCCCAUGGAGACAGCGCUCCGCUAGGCGUACAAAAUGGCGCCCGAGGCGCGAGGCGACUUCGCCUAGAGAGGGCGGGCCAGGCUCCGAUUUUCAUCUGACAUACAAGUAGCCUGGAGAAUAAGCCCAGAAUGAAUAGGAAUGUUUUCCCAAUAGCAUCAGCUUUGUUACUGAAAGAAAAGGAAAUAUUUGGCGCUGCUACAAAAGGAAGGCGAGUGAACUCCUGUGAUGUACUGGAGCUGUCAAUGAGGAAACACCUCGUGCUGCCAAGGAAAUAUUCUACUCAGCAGGACUUAAAAUUUUACCUCAGUUGGCAAAAAAGAACCCAGAGAAUAGAGCACAACUUGACAACUUGUGAAAACGAAUUGGAAAAGGAUAGAUUUCAAUAUUUCCUCAAAGUUGAACAGUAACCUCUGUGAAAUGAAAAAUGUAGUAGUCUUCAGGCAAAUGAGUGAUGGACAUCUGAAGAAAUCACAGAACCAUAGAAAUGAGUGGGCUUCUUCAACAGCAGCCAAGGAAAGUAAGUGAACAUGG